GAAAAAUCAAAAGGACUGGUUCAGAAAGUUUCUGGAUUGCUGAACACAUGUAAGAUCGUGGAGGUUGGUGUGCCCAGAGAGGGCAAGUAACAUACCAGAUGUUACAGCCUGGUCUCAGCUGUGUUCUGCAGGAGUAUUAAGAGAAGACUCUCCUCUGGGGCAGAAAAUUAAAAGAAAGCAGCACCUCUGAGGUAAAAAGAACCCAGAAUUGGGGUGAAUUCAUCAGUUCUCUGUUUCAAUCAAAAAGAGGAACACAAUAUGCGCUUCUCCAAAAUGUAUAAAAGCAAAAAUAUAUGUAAAUUCACGAAUUCAUUAAACUGCAAAAUCA